UUUUUUUUUUAACAGUGCCAUUAAAUGAAUUUUUCAAAAAUGGCAAUCCUAACCUCUUCCUCUUUCCUCUCAGCUCUGCUCUCCACCGUCGUUGUCCAUUCUGAGCAAUUGGAUUUUAGAUUUCUCCUCUGCAUCAGAAACUUCGCUAGCCAAUAAUCUUGCACCGAGAUAA